CCUUGAUGCACCAAUGUGACAAUGUACGGGUGAUCCUUGAUGCACAAAUGUGACAAUCUGUGGUGAUCCUUGAUGUACAAAUGUGACAAUGUACGGGUGAUCCUUGAUGUACACAUGU
rnacentral:lncRNA from 1 species